rnacentral:tRNA from 1 species
GGGGAUUUAGCGCAGUGGUGCCGCUGCCUGCCUCGCAAGCACAAGGUCCUGAGUUUGAUCCCCAGUAUCCCCA